CCCUGGCUGAGCGGUCCACCAUUGGCUGGCACUGUUCUGGCUGGGGUUCACCUUCUGGUGAGCCAAUAUUGCCCUUUAUUGGGUGUGUUGGGGAACCAGGACUUUUACUUUGAAAAAAUUAGAGUGUUUAAAGCAGGCCUAUGCUUGAAUACAUUAGCAUGGAAUAAUAGAAUAGGACUUUGGUUCUAUUUUGUUGGUUUCUAGGACCGAAGUA
rnacentral:rRNA from 1 species